AAUAACUGUGUUCUAUUGUAGCGUGUGUAUUGUGUGUAUUGAAACUAAGAUGCGCAUUUAGUGCGAUCAAAGUGUUAAUGUUAAUUUUAAUGUGCGUUUCUUGGAGCGAUUCAAUGCGACGGACAUCUAAGCGGUGGAGCAGAUGAUGGUGUGUUCUUGGGCAAGGUGUCGUCGUGAAGUAAAGCUUAAGAUUCCCCAUGCCACCACCUACUUAAUACUGGCCUGCAAAAGCUCACCUGAUGGAUGCCACGUGCCACGCAGGCUAAGGAACUUUGAGGCAACCGGCCGUCUGAUGCUGCUGCUGAGGACCUCGAUGUUGCUGCUGUGGUGCUGCAAGGAAAUCCGGGGUAGAGUUUAUUAAAAAAAAAAAAUACAAAUAAAUUGAAGCCAAAGGCAGGGCAUUGUACUUUGGUCUAACCUUCAAGUGUUUU
rnacentral:lncRNA from 1 species